CAGUCGUGCUGGCGCGAAAUCAACCCUCUCGUCGGGAGGAUCACAUGUUGUGGCGAGCCUCAAAACCGCCACGGCGUGUGACCUCACGAUGAGGGGGAGCACUUUCUCGUUCCGCAGGUCAGCGUCAGUUUUGGCGGCCGGAUAAAAGCCAAGGGAAUGUGGCCCUUUUUCCUUUACCGGGAGGGGG
rnacentral:rRNA from 1 species